GGGCGCCAGCGCGGGCGGGGCCGCGGCCUGGACGCAGGGCGGGGCGCGGGGGGCGCGGGGCCGGAGCUCCCGGAGGCCGCUGCUGCUGCCGAGGGCCGGCGCGGGGAGCUGGGGACCCGCAGCCGGGCGGGGGCGCCGGCACGCCUCGUCCCGCCCCCGGGACCCCCGGACGCGGGACCCCGACCACCCAGGCUGGGGCGUCCGCGAAACACACAUCGGACCUGUCCUGGAAGGCAAUUUGCAAGCGAAUUCUUUGAAACUCAAGAAGGAACUGUGCGGCCUCGAUCCUACGUCCCGGGCGUAGCGAGAGGACAGGACGGAGGAGAGGUGGCUGCACGAGCUGUGCCGUGGGCUGCGGUCCCUCCCGGGACCGGGAAACCUGGGGUCGAGUGUCCGCUCGCCGCCAGCCGGGUCUGGAGCCUAGACUCUCUCAUAGCCACGGUUUCCCUAUCUGAGUGCCAGCACCAGAGCGCGGGUGGAGUGGGAGGCCCUGCGUAUUUUCUUAAUGCCACCGGGCCUCAAAGUCCUUAUCUUUGAAAUGGGCUAAUAAGCCCGCCUCCGGAGUGAUGUCCUGGGGGUUAAAUGAGGUGUUACUUGCAACAUAAAACAACUGGUAAGAAGGAACUCCUGAAUUAGUGGAAACCAUUGUCAUUAAUAUGAUUAUUAAUCUCUACUGAAUCAAAAUUAUAAUACAAAUAGGAUGAUAAUAAUUAUGUCUUUCUGGGAUUUGAUGUUAUAAAAGCAGCCGCAGUAACGGCUUACCUUUACUGAGCAUGCGUUUUGUGCCCAACUUUCACUAAUCCUCUUAUUUAACCCUCUGAACUUGUUACUAGGAGAUGCCCACUGCACAGACUAGGAAACCAAAUCUCCCAGAGGUUAGAUAACUUGCCGCCGGUCAAGUAACUGGUAAGUGCAGAAAAAGGAUUCUGCCAAAACCCUUUAGGGCACUUUUUAUAGCUCUUGUUUUUCCCACCUUUGGCCUGAUUUAUCCAUGAAAGUUCAUCCUUUCUUGUAACUGAAAUAAGCCUCCAGAAAAUAUCUCCCCAUUGGCCCAAGUUCAGAAAACCCCAAGGAUGAAAAUCUAGAGGGAAUAAUGGGAAGGAGCUUAGUUUCUGGAAGAACCAAACUGAGCACAAAGACUCCUGUUGUAGACAAAGGAUCCAGAGCAAAUUAAAGAAGAGUAAGAAAGAGUUGGGCCACUUCUCGAAAGUUGUAUGAGCUUUGACUCUUACAGCUUUGCCAAAGGCUCCAAUGAGCAAGGAGAGCCUGCGCCAGCCGGAAAGGCUGAUACUCAGCGGGCUUUAACAGAUAUUUGAAAAGCACUUUAUGCAUAGACAUUUUUUCCUGAAUCAUUUGUAGGUAAGUUCCACACCCUAUUAUAACCCCUUACCCCUGUAUAUUUUGAUAUGUCUUUCCUACGAGUAGGGAUGUUAUCUUACAUAAUCACAGUACAGUUACCAAAUUCGUAGCUUUAUAUUGAUAAAAUAUGUGUAUCUAUUCUUGGUCCAUAUUCCAGUUUUGCCAGUUGGUCUGACCAUGUCUUUUAUAGUAUUUCUUUCCCCUCCAUCCCAAGAUCCUCCACUGUAGGGUCAGGUAUCGUAUUUAGCUGUCUGAAAACGUAUGGGUUUUCAAACAUUACUCUUCACUGAGAAGGGAUGAAAAUAAAUGUCCUCAAGUGUUUUCAUGGUGACAGCAACCCCCAGAAUUCCUAGGACAGGCCCUCAUUCCCCACAUUUCCCAGCUCCGCGUAGACCUUGCAUGGUUCUUCUGGGCAGGGCCCACUCAGCACCACUAUGUGAUCCAAGUUCAUGAACUUGUCACUCUGGUGGUGGCUGUAGAAGCUGCAGCUGUCCCCUGUGUGGCGACCCGGGCCAGCCGAUCCCGUGGGCAGACUGCAGCUUAGUGCCUUCUCCUGCUGCAAAUUCUAAACGCCCCCGGGGCCGCGUGCUCCUGUUCGGUAGGAUGGAAGCCGCCACCGUAUGGUACAGCCACGUGGGAUGCCCAUUACCCUGGAGAACCAGCCACGCGGUGUGGCUUUGGGCUCAAGAGCUUCACUUGAGGGAAAUGCACUGGUAGCAGUUAGGCGUCAGGACAGAAAACGGGAUUUCGUGAUCAUGAGGAGUUCAAUUAUCCAAGGAUGUGCUGGAGGCUCCUUCAGCUGGAAGUAGAGAAUUUGAUAGACUAAUUAUAAUUAGGAAGGAAUUGAUUAAUACCUUCUCCCCUGUUGGCUGUGGGCAUGGGACAAGGAUAACCAGGUGCCAUUCCAGCAGGGGCAGUGCCUGGCGCUCAGUGGGCGCUCUGGGGGAAUGUCAUCCGUCGCUGGGAAGCCAAAUCCUGUAGGUGAAUGCAUCAGCAGAGCAAAUGAAUGGAGGACACGAAUGCUGCGCCCUGGGGCCCGGGCUCCGGCUCAAACAUUGCCAACGGCCUUGAUGAAGGAAAAGAGAAUGAGGUGAAUGGCACCCUGACAGUGAAAUGCUCUGGCCAGAGUGGCCCGGCCUCACUCCCGCUCCUGUGGGGGGAGGCCAGGCCUAUGGCCCCACUGGACACAGGCGGGUGCACCAGGCAGGGAGUGCUGGAAACCAGUGGUCAGCGGUAAGGACUGGUGGGGGCGGGACCCACCUGCAGUCAGAAUAAGAAAUACAGGCUGCCCCUGGCAUACAGAGGUGGGGAGCCUGGCAGCAUUCCAGGAAGACUUCCUAGAGGCAGCAGUGCCCCAGCGAGUCCCGGAGUAUCCAAGAUGGUCAGUUCCACAAAGAGGGACCCAAAGAAAAGGCCUCUCAGAUGGAGGGAGACUUCCGGGCCCUACCAGAGCCAAGAAGGAACUUACCAAGUAGUUGCAUUUCAUCAUAAAAUACCAGGCCAGAGCAAACGAGGGCGUCAGGAGGCUUGACGAGACACCAGGAUGCAAAGCAAUUGAUGACACUUGGCCCAAGGUGUGUGUUUGCUGGUGGGUGGAAGGACGGGCCAGCCAGAUGUCUGCACCUAGGAUCCGCAGGGGGUCUGGCCCCAGAGACCAGAUGUCUACCUGCUCCACUGGGUGACUUGCAAGACUUGGAGGAUCCCAGCUGUGUCCUGGCUCCACCUGGCUUCACUGUGGUGCCAGGAGACCUGCUGGGGGGCUUCUGCUGGUGGCCUGUGACGGAGAGGACAAGAGGUUCUCUUGGAGGCAGGCAUUUGAAGGCCGUGGGUGGGGCUGGAGGUUCCUGGCAGAGCGGAAGAGGAGCUGGGGAGGGAGAGGAAGUGCAAGAAACUCCCGCAGGCAGCCGAGCACGAGCUGACUGUGGUCAAUGCAUUUUUGGUGGGCUUGGGAGAGGAGAGAAAGGGGGUGGUCUCUACUGUGCUUAAAAUGUUUAGAAUAGGGUUAAAAGCCUGAAUCUUUUGCCUAAAAUCACAGUCUUAGCGUGCCUUGAAAACUCAGCACAGACAGCAAAAGCGGUCCCCGUUCCCAAGUGGCAGCCAUUUCCGGGGCCCCCGAGCCUGGCUGCGGGGCGUGUAGGUUCCCCCCCGGGCUGCUUUGCCGCUUUGCCAAGGCCAUGGCCCUGCCGCGGGGGAGAGCGCAAAGCCGCGGGUCCACCGAGCUGCCUGGGAAUCCUGCUUCCAUCAGUGUCUCGUGGCUGUGGAGAGAGCCGUAGAUGCCCUCCCGUGAGCCACACAUUUCCUCCAGGCUGAGUUUCUCAGGCAGCCCCUCUGGCGGCGGUGGAGACCACGGGCAGCAGUGAGCACGGUGCCCGGCUCGCAGGGAGGGCAGCUUUGCUGAUCCAUCAGCGUGGCCUGUGGCUGGCGUGGACAGGCAGCCUUUGCACCCCGCCUCCCGUGCUCAUUCUGAGUCAUCUCCAUCUUAGCUGAAAGAAUGCGGCGCCCCUCAGGAUGCUCUGGGCUGCAGGGAACAGAGCAGGGCCUGCCACCGUCAUCAUGACCCGGGCCCUGGUCACCCUUGACGUAGAGGUCACGGUGCCUCUGGUGUGGAGGUCUAGCUCUGGACAUUGCUGCUCCUUAUAGCUGUGUUCACAAGCAGGACGGGGACACUUCUCCUCCCUUGCCUCCUUCCAGAGGCUCCAGGAGAUUUCUUCUCAUGUGGCCAGAAUGUGGUCUCGGGCCCACGCCCUAGCAGCAAAAGGUAAAAAGGAAAAGGGCUGUCAUCUGUGUUGGGGAUCAUAAAACGUGAUCUCCUUUCUUUGUGGCCCUGAGUCCAGUGCGGAGGAAGAUAGGACAUCUUUUUUUAUUCAAGUUCGGGAUUUUGACCUGCAAGCUCCCCCCGCACCAGCUUUUAGGGAGUUUGAGAACUUGGCCUGGAUGCCAGCUUGAGAAUUCUGACCAUCUGAGACCAGAGGCACCCACAGCUCCAAGCACCAUGAGGGAUAGAGAUGCCCACUCAGAGGGUGCAGAGAAGACACCCACUAAAGAGAAGCAGCAUCACAGCGGCACCUUUCUGCCCAGAAGCCUCUGCUCUUCUGUCCUGGCAGCAAAGCUACUCCAGACCUUCACGCGUAAGGUAGGGCUCCAGGAGCACAUCAUCUACGGAGCACACUCCCUGCCCAGGGAUUGCGUGGGAAGCUGCACACGCCGGCCGGGCUGGAAAAGGACCAGCCCUCUCCUGAGACUCAGGGCUGUCACCUUAUCCCCCAGAUCCUGUGGGAAAACUCUGGCUGCAACAGAGCCGAGGUGCUUCCAGAAGAUGCCCUUGGCAUUCUGCUAUGCUCUAUUUGUAUCGUCUUUGAAAAAGGUAUAGAAGAUGCACAAUAACACUUUGCUUUGGGGAACUUUCUAGGGAAUAAGGUCACCCACAUCUGUUGCUGGCGUCCGAAUCACAUGUCCCAGAGCAUGCCAAAUGCCCUCACUAACUGCAAAAGACACCUACGCAGGGCCCCCACCCCACCCAAGAGUUGGCGCUGUCGCUGAACCCACGUUAGGGUCUUUCGAGGACGGUGUGCCCAUUCCAACAACACAGAGGACAGCUCCUUCUUCCAGAAAAGCCGCUGAGAGCUGUUAUGGUGAUGAGCACAGAUUUCACGUAAUUGGGGCCUUGGGCAGCUCACCCAAUCGCACUGAGUCUCGGUGUCCCAGACAUAAGGCAGGAUCGCUCACAGUGGGAUGAAACUGAUUAGAUAAAGCACCUAGAGUCCCCAACCAGGUCCCGACCCAGGGCGUGUGCUGCAUCGGUGCAUUUAUUAGGACUGUUACCUGCGAGGCACCGCGGUGAUGCUCAGAUCAGCCACACCUGAAGCAGGUGCCGUCCUGCUCUGGUGCUUGCUGUGGCACUUCCUCGGCCCUCUUUCCCCACCUGGAACCCGGGGGAAGUAAUAGCACACAGGUGGGGAGCCGUCAGUAAACGCUGGGGAUCCACACAGCCCCCAAGAACAUUACUCUUUGUGCUUCUCCUGCCAGAAGGAUGGCCCGACCUGGUACAAGCCUUGCUGCCUUCCUUCUGGGGGAGGAAGAGACUUUGAACAACACUCAUGAGUCAGAUGACAGUGUUCACGGAAAGCACUUCUCUGCCUCCUGCCUGGGACAAGACGGCCUGUGGCAUCCCUGCCCUCUUGUGUUCACAGGUCCUCCGAAGGGCCGGCAGGGCAGCCUGUGAGUUGAGCCCUCUGACCCCUCCUCCCCUGAGGGGUGCUCACACAGCCCUGGAGACACCAGUCCAGACAGACACGGGAGGGAGUGGCUGGUAGAGAUGUGCUGAGGAAAGGAAAAGAGAAAGCGGAUGCUGGUCAGCACCCAGCGUCUCUUUUUAUAGCCUCCUGUGAAAGAAGAGCUUUCCUUUCAUGUGAGUUUCCCUGAUAUUCACAAGUUUACAGGAACAGUUGAAAAUGUCAACUAUUUAUAUAACCUUUUGCCUUUUCCCAGGCAUCAUGAUGGGCGUGUCUCCCUCUCCACGUGCUGGGAGGGAGUUUGCAGUUUUCUUCCAAGCUGCUUGCAGGCAUCGCCCCUCCCCAGGCUCCUCUUGGGGUGGGGGGACGGGGCAUUUCAGCCCUUUCCGAUUUUUUUGCUGCUGUGAACAGCACUGCAAUAAACACCUUCGGGCAAGCUGCAUUUUUUUUUUUUUUUAAUUCCUUUACAUAUCUCUUAGAAUAUUGCAGUCUGCCUUCGCUUCGCUCAUCAGGAGGUUCACUUAUGUCACCCAGGAGAGGCUGCUCUGGGGAUGGGCCGGGAGUAGGAGGAAGGGGCAGCUCUGGACGCCCUGGCCUCUCCCUGCCCUCCCGCCUGCUGGCCAGCACCUGCCCCGCAGUGUCUGCUUCUCCUGACUGGGCCUCCUUCAGGUUGUCACGGCUCCGUCAGCGCUGGCCGAUAAAUCACCCUACAGCCCCUCUUCCGUUGCCAGCAGCCCCUUCUGAGAUUCCAUGCUUCAUACUCAUAGGAGAGGAGUUGCACCAUCUACACGAGGCUGCAGGUCCUGGGAGGGGGUGUGGCGGGGCAGGCUGGCCGUAGAGGGCAGCACAUAUAGUUUGCUUUUGUCUCCAAAGGAAUUUCACAGGCCACUCACGCAACUUAGCAUCCAGAAACCAUCAGCAUCUUCUUGCCUCACGAUUUUCUGGGCGCUGACUUGGACUGGGAGAGAGGUUUUCCCGUGGCCUCGCCUGGGGUCAGUCCUGCAGCUGUGGUCAGAGGGCAGGUUGGCUCCCAGCUGGAAUAUAAGGUGUGAUUAUGGAAUAAGGAGAGUUUUUUACUUUCCCCUCCACCUAAACAGAGCCCCUUGGUCCCACGUGUGCUGACCCUCAGAACACUCCUCUCGACCAGAGGCCUUUAGGACACGUUCUUAAUUAAGGCCAGCCGCAGCCCUCUGCGGGGCACGACUUGGCUUCUUUAUGGCCUGCAUCCUCGCUGCCACCUUCUCGUCCCUUGUUCUUCUAGGUUCUAGCCUAGAAACCAAGGCUGAGGACCUCAAGGGAGGGUGCUGGGCUGGCCUGGGACUAAGAGCCUCCAGGAAGGUCACCCACAGGCCAGACUAGGUGUGAGCUCAGGGUGGGCCUUAUGAAGAGAACUUGAGCAAGUACAUGGAUGCCUGACCCGUCCACAGUCUAAGUGCUGUCAAAGCUCAUGUGAACAUGGUAAAUGCAAACUAGGGAGGAUAGACUGUCAAGGCGUGUGUCUGGGAGGGAUAGACAGAGAGGGAGGGAGAGAGAAAGGAGGGAAAGGGAAGGGGAGUAGCCGGU